GGCCAAUCUGCAGUACCUUACUUUGGUUACCGACUGACAUGAUUAUUAACACUAAAGGCAUGAUACCCAAUUCAGACGUUCAUCAAUAUUAGCUAUUCCACAUCAGUCUAUUACCAAUGUGCCACCAGAGAUAUAGACAGUUAUCUGAUAACUAUCAUCUAGCUCAGCAUUAAUUAUCUUCCAGCUACGUUCCAAUUCAUCACCACGUGGGCAAAUAUCUCACGAUCUCCACAAAGCU
rnacentral:lncRNA from 1 species